GGGGGGAAAGUAUUCACACGCGAUGCGUAGCUCGACGAGAACGCUUGCGCGCGAAUCUAACACGUGGCGAAGGAACGAGCUUUUCUACGAGCGUUUGUUGAGAAGUACAGUCUUCGGUGCUUUCGCUGUCGGAACACUUCCUCGCGAUCGCUUCCUUCUAAUUCAUUUUUUUCUAUUAAAAUAACCGGAUUGAUAGAAAAAGAAACUGCUCUAAAAUCUCCGUCCAUGGUCACGACGGGUGAAAAUUUUCGGUGAGAUAUCGUUCGUAAAGGCGAUGACUACGAUACGAAGAAAGAUGACAGCAGAGACGAGAACGAUCGAAAGGAUUUCGAAAUAAUUGAAAUUAGGACGAUUCGAAUAAUUAUUAGAUAAAGAUUUGAAAAUCAGGAUGAGCAAGGAAGGGGGCAACCAGGACUCUCCUCAGGGAGGCGAUGCUUCGAAGAAAGACUCGAACGCGGACCUUUACGAAAAUCGAGGGACGAAGAAAAUCAUACGUUUAGUUACCGUGAUGGCUUACAUGUUCUCCGUAAGUUUCGUCGCCAUAGUUUUGAGCGCUUAUUACUUGUUCCUAUGGGAACCGCCGAAUCCAAAACUCAUACGGCGACCGGUUCAUCUAUCGUCUGAACCCGAAAUACAGUUUCUACUCGCCGAUGAACCGAAUUUGCCAAACGACGUCUCGAUGAACGAUUUUCUUUCAGUGAUGGGAACCGAACAGAAAGGAUCGAACAGCACCCGGAAAUCGUUCGGCGGUCGCAUCGUCGAUGAUCAUUACAGCGGAAAGAAACAUCGGAGAACGUUGAACGAAUCAUUGGCGCUAUUGAGAAACUCUUUGGUAGAAUUUAUGCGAAACAGGAUCAACAACAACGAUUCAAAGUUUCACGAUGUUUUAGCAGGGAAAGAAAGACGGUUGAAUUCGACGAAGACGGAAUUUGGGACAAGAUCGAAGGACGUUAAGAAUGAAACAGACUUAUCAAAAAUGAUCGAUCGUACGUUCAAAAAUAAUGCCACAUUCCUGACACUGAAUUCUUCCGCUAUUUCCGAAGAUGAAGUGAAUAACGAACGUUUUACGAGUACCAGAAACAGAUCCGUGUUCAAAACAGUGUUGUACACGACGGAAGACACAAUUGUCGGUUCGAAAAGUUUCGGCAAGGAAAAUUCUUCUGAAAGUUUGUCGAAAGUUAAGGAAUUUGCAAACUCGAAUGAAGGAUUCGAUACGGUUUUAUCGAUGAAAGAGAAAUAUCGUCGACGAUCGAGAGGAUCGUCGGGAAAAUUGGCGAACGUUGCGACCGACUUGAAAGAUACACGGAACUUUCAUAGAACCAUGUUUGCCUGAGAAAUGAUCGAAGAAUGACGUCUUAAUGGUAUUAAAAUAAAGGCGCGGCUUCUCUGUAAAACGAGUAGAUCAUCAAGCUCGAAGCAAAAGCUCCGUAGGACUUUGUCAAACGUUCCCAAUCGAAAUCGUUACCGAUCCCUUACGAAACAAUGACAUAUCCUGUUUAAAAUGACACGUACGAGCAUCGCUUCCUAAGCUGAAGAAGCUCCAACUUACGUAAACUACUUGCGCAACAUUUUUAAUCGUAUCUCUGUCACUCAACCAGGAGCACUUCACUAAAUUUCACUAUUUCUAUGGAAAUGUAAUGGUCCCCGAAACAAGACUCGUUUUUCUACUUUCUUUUCGUCCCCGUAUUUUCCUUAAUGCAAUCGAAUAACGAAUACAGGACCGAAAGGAUGGAUUUCGAAUAUCCUUCGAUUUCUUGGGGGGAGGGGGGCAGAAAGUUUGAAUUAUAAAGGUAGAUCGAUUUAAGGACUCGUUUAAUUGACGGUGAAUCCUGUCGAAUCAAGCUGAGCCCUUGAAGCUUGCGAAACGAAGCACCGAGUCAAGGUUCUCAGGCUUGCGCAGUGAAAAGCUCGCCGGUAUCACAAGCUAGAUGGGUGUGUUUUUUAGCAGCUGUAUCGGUGAGAAGCGUUGAUCCAUUCGUCAACAGACUAAAAUAGUUGUAGAACAGUGAAAAGAGCGAAUCGAACGGAUAGCCUGUGCGCGAUUCCGAGCCCUGGAUAAUCCUAUCCUUGGCGAAUAAUUUUCGUCGCGUUAGGUUUUCGGUAUCUAUACCUGUGGAAACGGCCUGUCGGUAAAUCAGUUUCGAUUGUUCAACUAGGAAAAUUCAGGAAGCAUCGAAUUUCAACGAAGAAAAAGUAAGAGAAAUUUCAACGUUGUCCGUUUGACGGAGAAAAAUAUCUUAUUCGAGAAGGUGGUGUUUGGCAGUAAGGUACGUGUUCGAGCUGCAACGCUACGCUUGCAGUAAUAAACUCCCAGAGCUUACAGAUCGUUCAUAAAUGUAAACAAUCGUUUAAGUUAUAAAUAACACGGGCGAGAUUGUAAGGGAAGGGAACAAUGAUUCCGUCGAUAUUCUCCUUGAAAUCGAUCGUAUUCGCAGUUGGUGUUGAAAAUAAUGAAAACGCGACGAGUUUCUUGAUUACUUAACGAAAGCUGGCGUUGUAAUAUCGUUGUUCAGAGGAAGAGCUGGAUCGGAAUCAUCGGAGGAGCGAGUGAUAGGUGUGACUCGUUGUAGAGGAAUAUACCGAGGAUGCAGUUGCCGCGAAAAAUGAGCGCCCAAAACGUGAUGGCGAGCAUUAGUCGGACGCUGGGUAAUCGGGAACAUAAGGCGGCAGGAAACGAAAUUCGUUUCGCCGGUGACGAGAGGAAAGACAAAUUGUACGAGCCGAAACACCAGCAAAAAUUGAAACGCAAAUAGAAAAGAUGACGAUAAAAUCAACGACAGUGGGAGAAGAAGAAACCGAUUCACCGGAAAUCCUAACUACUCAGCGAGAAAAAGAACUGUCGCCGAUUUUAACAGAGAUCAAUGGGACAUUUUUCAAUAUAUU